CCGUGGUUUUCCAAUAGAGCUUCGCAGGCUUUUUCUAUGCCUAGUACUUCUGCUUGGAAGAUGCUAGCCGAGUUCGGUAGACGUAUAGAGAGAGAUAUGCCAAGAUCAGUGGAGAAUACCCCGUGCCUACUCCGCAGUCCAUUUUGGACCCGUCGGUAUAGACUGAGAUGGUAUCCUCCUCUUCUAUUGAGCCUCUUCUCCAUUCUCGUCUAGAUGGUAUCCUUACCUGGAAGUGUCUAUUGAAGUCCAGCUUUGGGAGAAUGUAGUCUGAUUUAUUAAUGGCGAGCUUGUUUAGAAUUACACUAUGUCCAUAGUUCUGCUGGUUCCAACCUCCCAAUUCUUUUAUUCUUGUCGCCGCAAUAGCUGCUGUUUUUUGAAUAAAAAUGUCCAUUGGUAGUUGAUGCAGGAUCACGUUGAGCGCAUCAGUCGGACAUGACCUGAUUGCCCCAGUAACACCCGCACAUGCUGCUCUUUGUAUACCAUUUAAUUUUUUAAUGUUAUAUUGUUUGUUUAGCGCUGGCCACCAUACCAGAGCUCCAUAUGUAAGUAUAGGUCUUAUGACCGCCGUAUACAUCCACAUGACUAUACUUGGUUUGAGGCCCCAAUUCUUGUUGACGAUUCUCUUACAAGUAUAGUAAGCCAUGUAUGCUUUGUUUAUUCUUUUUUCUAUAUUUAUUUUCCAGGACAAUUUGGUGUCAAUCUCCACCCCCAAGUAUUUAGCUGUGGGGGAUAGACUGAGUGUUGUACCGUUUAGUAUCGGAAGUUGAAAUUGAGGUAUUUUGGUUCUGCUUGUGAAUAGCAUCAGUUCUGUUUUGUUCGGGUUAACUCCUAGUCCAUUGUUUUUAGCCCAUAGGUUUAACCUUCGAAGUGCUCUUUCCAUAAUCUCGCUGACUGUUGAAGGAAACAUGCCUGCACUCCUACUGAUUAAUAAUUUAUUUGGUUUUUAUGUUUCAGAUGUUCAGAAGAGUCAAAAUCAACGACGGCACCGGGAGUCUUCUUUUAAGAUAGCUUUCUUUGGGCGCCAUUUUUAAUAUUGUUAAAAAAAUUUUUCAUUCAACAAAAAAAUAUUUUUGUACUUUUCAUAAGUGUAUAAACAAACUGUAAAAAUUUUAAAUUGAUUGCUCUUUUUUAAGCCUUAAAAAAUCCUGAAAACACCUUCAAUUUGAGGGUUCUAGACCACCGGGACCCCUUAAGCGCCUGGGCGCUUUGUCGAUCAGGUGAUCGGGGGGGUCUUGUUGCUCCUUGUGAACGGACUAUAAUCCUCCUUGUUACCAGAGAUGGUAUGUGCUGACAUUUCCUCAGCUAUUCCUAUAGCUGAUGCUCGAAAAUUCCUCAGGGUGAAAUCCCCAGGAAUUUCUCUUUGAGUGGGUUGUGGGAUCUAUGUAGGUAUCUAAAGGGAGAGCUAAGAAAACGCGCUCUUCGCGAUUUCCCUUUUGUGUGAACCUUCCCCAAAUAAAUAAAUAUUUGUAAAGUGUUUUAGCACGCACCGCUUUUAUAGUUUUAUUAUGCUCUGUUUUUUGAUUUACUUAAGGGGUCAGUAGGGUAAUUUUUUUUCAUGGAAAUUUUUAUUCUACAAUAGAACUUUUUUCACAUAUUAUGAGGUAUGUCGUGGAGUGUAUAAACAAUUUUUCGGAAUUUUUUUAUGACAUCUGUCGGAGAAAUGGUUUGGUGAAUGAGAUACAUUUUUUCACUGGCGGACACGAUUUCUCAUGUUUAGAUCAUCUGAAACACAAAAACCCAAUUUAUUCUUAAAAAGUACGUGACUGGUUAUCGUCCCUACUAGAAUCAUAAAAAAAUGUUGAUAAAUGAAAAGUAAUUAACGUUUUUUUUUUAAUUUUUCCCCAUGUUUUGUCCGCCAGUUUAAAAAAGUGUGUUUUGAGAAAAACGUGUUUAAAGUUUGAGGUGUUCACUCCGAGCGCUCCGAACCUCGAGCGGUAUUAGUAUUUUUGGGUCUUUACCGAGACCUUCCAAUGGUAAGGUGGUUUUCUACAUUAAAAAAAAAAAACAAUUUUGAAAAAAGAUUACCCUACUGACCCCUUAAGAUGAUGUGGGCACUGUGUGUGUUUCCGUGCGUUUAGGAACUAAUUUUGGAUUAUUUCCUAUCGAACUUGGUGUCAUAAACGGAGCACCAGAAAUAACACAAACUCACUUCACUGUCCACCCACUCUACUCUAGCGAUUGUAUCAAAAAUUAUGUUUAUAUGUUGUUCCUAAAGAUUUUAUUGAAUGGUUUCUAAUUGCAGAUAGAAAUUAUGAUUUGCUUAAUUUUACAAACACAUUUUUUUUUUAAUUUUUCUUAAUGUUUUGCUUUUAUCGCUCCCAAUGUAAAUUUUUAAUUGCGGUUUUAUGUGUAUUACAAAGCAGUUUUAAUGAUUUUUUAUUUUUAUCUUUUUAGAUUCGCUAAUAGUGGUUUCAUGAAGAGAUACUAGAUUCAUCAAACAAAAAGUGGAAGGACCCUGAACAAAAGUAGAUUAGAUUAGAUUAGAUUUAUUUAUGAGGAAUGCAUCGCGACCUUUGGUCUAUUGUGCCCUCUCCUAAAUCACAUGGACUCACUUAGCCCCAGCACGUCGAUGAAUUCCAAUAUUUUACUGGGUGCUAAUGAGUCGAUGCAAUUCCUGUCCGGAAUCACGGAUCCGAGGGCCUUAAUCCUGCGUCUGCAGACUGCUGUGCAGUCGAUCAGCAGGUGUUCCGGUGUUUCAGGCCCCAUGUCGCAGAACCGGCAGUUAGUGCAAGAAGAUAGGCCCAUGUUAUAUAAAACAAGAACAAAAAAACAGCCGCUUGGCGAAUAACAAUGCAUUGGUAGUGCCUUUGCCAGAAUACGAUUCAACAACACAAUGGUUGCAACAAUUUACCCAAUUGUAAAGUUCGAUACUUUUCCAAAGAUUGUCGUAUGGAGAUUUUAAAUAAAUGCCAUCGAAUUGCUUGUAUAGGUGCAUUCCACACAGACGACACUCACCCAAUAAAUGCAUUGAAUGAAAUAUGGAAGAAGGAGUCAACAAAUAACUUGUACAUUACUUUUUUCAACACUUUUUGAUACUUUCAAAAAUAUAUAUUAUACGCCGGGAACUGGUACAAUAAUGUUAACUGUUCGUUUAAUAGACAUGUAUGAACAAAGUAACAACAAAGAACAGUUUCUCCAGUCACUUCAACCCUUCCAAUCGAUAAUAGUGAAUGCAGAACAAAAUAUAUAUCACAAAAUAA